AAAUAAAUAUUUUUUUUUUUUUUUUUUUUUUUUUUUUUUUUUUUUUUUUUUUUAUAUUAUUUUACACAAUAUAUUUUCCAGUAUCCAAAUAAUUGUUUUGUACACUACUUUGUAAUGUUUUUCACUGAAAACGUAGUAUUGAGGUGUAUUUUCCGGAAUUUGCCGAGUAUCACCGGAAUGCCAUGUGAUAACGUUACGGAAAGGCAUGUGAUAACAAUCGAAGCAUGUGAUAAACUUUUCAUAUCAGCCCGCUAAGCAC
rnacentral:lncRNA from 1 species